rnacentral:rRNA from 1 species
GAACCGAUGGAUCGGUCACGCCAUUCGGUACGUACUGGUAUUGUUGGUUUCUCCCUUCUGACGAACCAUGAUGUCAUUUAUUUGGUGUUGUGGGGAAUCAGGACUGUUACUUUGAAAAAAUUAGAGUGUUUAAAGCAGGCUCACGCUUGAAUACAUUAGCAUGGAAUAAUGAAAUAGGACGUUUGAUUCUAUUUUGUUGGUUUCUAGGAUCGACGUA